AUAAAUUACAAGCGUCAACUCACCAAUUGAACGGUUCACGUCUUUUAAAAAGGAAUUCCACAUUCCUGUCAAUGGUUUUCUAAACUUAUCUUUCAAGAUGGCAGCAUACAAUACAAUAGGUAGAUCUAAUGACUCAAAAAUAGCACGAAUCUUCAUCUGAAAGGUAUGUCCGGCAGAAGGUUUUCUUGGAAUUCCGUUUUGAUUACUGAAAAUAACAAGAGAAUAAUUGUCUUGGUAUAAAGCCUUCAAUUUUGGGACAACGCUUGGAUGCCACCAGGUCCAGUCAGCUGCAUCUUUUGAAAAUACUCUACCAGAUUUAGUUUUUAUGAGCGUUCCAUCUAAAUCAAAUGCAAUAAAUUUUUUAGUCUUUUUUAGUUUUCCAUACUUUGCUAUGUAUAAUGAAUCGGUGAUGCUCCAUUGAAUUUCUAUUUUCUGUUGAAGGCAUGUCGAGGAUGAAUCAGAAUCUUUGUUUUGAGAGCCGUACUUUUUUGAGGAUUUAGACGAUUUUUCAAAAUAUGAAGUUAAAGAUUCCUGGGGGGGAGACUUUCUUUUUUUCGACGACAUCGCGAUUGACGAAAUACUAAAUGGGACUUGGUAAUUGAGUUAGCUAUAUUAUAAUUGCAUAGCAAUGAAAAUGGGUGGUUUCAAUA